CCUACGGGAGGCAGCAGUGGGGAAUAUUGGACAAUGGGGGAAACCCUGAUCCAGCGACGCCGCGUGAGUGAAGAAGUAUUUCGGUAUGUAAAGCUCUAUCAGCAGGGAAGAAAGAUAUGACGGUACCUGACUAAGAAGCCCCGGCUAACUACGCGCCAGCAGCCGCGGUAAUACGUAGGGGGCAAGCGUUACCCGGAUUUACUGGGUGUAAAGGGAGCGUAAACGGCGGUUCAAGUCUGGAGUUAAAGGCGGGGGCCCAACCCCUGGACUGCUUUGGAAACUGUAUGGCUAGAGUGCAGUAGAGGUAAGUGGAAUUCCUAGUGUAGCGGUGAAAUGCGUAGAUAUUAGGAAGAACACCAAAGGCGAAGGCAGCUUACUGGACUGUUACUGACGUUGAGGCUCGAAAGCGUGGGGAGCAAACAGGAUUAGAUACCCGUGUAGUC
rnacentral:rRNA from 1 species